AUUGAACGCUAGCGGGAUGCUUAACACAUGCAAGUCGAACGAGUGGCGGACGGGUGAGUAAUAUAUGGGAACGUGCCCAGUAGAGGGGGAUAACUACUGGAAAGAGUGGCUAAUACCGCAUACUAUUGGAGCGGCCGAGAUGGGAUUAGCUAGUUGGUGGGGUAAAGGCUCACCAGGGCAACGAUCCGUAGCUGGUUUGAGGGGACGACCAGCCAAACUGGAACGUGGACACGGCCCAGACUCCUAGGGGGGGCAGCAUGGGGGAAUUUUGGACAAUGGGGGAAACCCUGAUCCACCCAUCCCGCGUGGAGGAGAGGGCCUUCGGGUUGUAAAGUACUUUUGGCAGAGAAGCGGUAUCUGCAGAAUAAGCACCGGCUAACUACGUGCCAGCAGCCGCGGUAAUUC
rnacentral:rRNA from 1 species